GACGAACGCUGGCGGCGUGCUUAACGCAUGCAAGUCGAACGCUGAAGCUUGGUGCUUGCACUGGGUGGAUGAGUGGCGAACGGGUGAGUAAUACGUGAGUAACCUGCCCUUGACUCUGGGAUAAGCCUGGGAAACUGGGUCCAAUACUGGAUACGACAUGUCACCGCAUGGUGGUGUGUGGAAAGGGUUUUACUGGUUUUGGAUGGGCUCACGGCCUAUCAGCUUGUUGGUGGGGUAAUGGCUCACCAAGGCGACGACGGGUAGCCGGCCUGAGAGGGUGACCGGCCACACUGGGACUGAGACACGGCCCAGACUCCUACGGGAGGCAGCAGUGGGGAAUAUUGCACAAUGGGCGGAAGCCUGAUGCAGCGACGCCGCGUGAGGGAUGACGGCCUUCGGGUUGUAAACCUCUUUCAGCACGGAAGAAGCGAAAGUGACGGUACGUGCAGAAGAAGCGCCGGCUAACUACGUG
rnacentral:rRNA from 1 species